UACGAAGGGGGGCUAGCGUUGUUCGGAUUUACUGGGCGUAAAGCGCACGUAGGCGGAUUGUUAAGUGAGGGGUGAAAUCCUGGAGCUCAACUCCAGAACUGCCCUUUCAUACUGGCAAUCUAGAGUCCGGAAGAGGUAAGUGGAACUCCUAGUGUAGAGGUGGAAUUCGUAGAUAUUAGGAAGAACACCAGUGGCGAAAGGCGGCUUACUGGUCCGGUACUGACGCUGAGGUGCGAAAGCGUGGGGAGCAAACAGG
rnacentral:rRNA from 1 species